rnacentral:rRNA from 1 species
AGUCGAGCGGGGUGAGGUGCUUCGGUACUGAUCCUAGCGGCGGACGGGUGAGUAAUGCUUAGGAAUCUGCCUAUUAGUGGGGGACAACAUUCCGAAAGGAAUGCUAAUACCGCAUACGUCCUACGGGAGAAAGCAGGGGAUCUUCGGACCUUGCGCUAAUAGAUGAGCCUAAGUCGGAUUAGCUAGUUGGUGGGGUAAAGGCCUACCAAGGCGACGAUCUGUAGCGGGUCUGAGAGGAUGAUCCGCCACACUGGGACUGAGACACGGCCCAGACUCCUACGGGAGGCAGCAGUGGGGAAUAUUGGACAAUGGGCGGAAGCCUGAUCCAGCCAUGCCGCGUGUGUGAAGAAGGCCUUUUGGUUGUAAAGCACUUUAAGCGAGGAGGAGGCUACCUAGAUUAAUACUCUGGGAUAGUGGACGUUACUCGCAGAAUAAGCACCGGCUAACUCUGUGCCAGCAGCCGCGGUAAUACAGAGGGUGCGAGCGUUAAUCGGAUUUACUGGGCGUAAAGCGUGCGUAGGCGGCUGAUUAAGUCGGAUGUGAAAUCCCUGAGCUUAACUUAGGAAUUGCAUUCGAUACUGGUCAGCUAGAGUAUGGGAGAGGAUGGUAGAAUUCCAGGUGUAGCGGUGAAAUGCGUAGAGAUCUGGAGGAAUACCGAUGGCGAAGGCAGCC